GUCCUUUCAUAUUUCGUCACAAGUAACUAUAUUACUGCUGUUGGGUAACCAACUAUGGCGAUAAACGUUGCGUGGAAUAAACGUUGCGGACCCGGGGGCGGUACCCGGCGCCUCCACCAUAAACACGGAUUUUCCCUUUCCGUGUUUAUGAUGGGGGCGAAAUAGGUUCGACGCGCGCAGUAAAGAUGUAAUUUUCGCUCGGCAUGAUACCACCGUUACCGGGGUCAAUUUUACAAAUGCAAACGAUAAUAACGAAGCAUUUGCCGUAGCUGCCUAACAGCCGCUACACGGGGUUCGGAGGGGCACCUGGCAACAGAAGCCCCUCCACU
rnacentral:tmRNA from 1 species